rnacentral:rRNA from 1 species
GUCUAGGGCCAUACCACCCUGAACACAUCCGAUCUCGUCUGAUCUCGGAAGCUAAGCAGGGUCGGGCCUGGUUAGUACUUGGAUGGGAGAUUUGACUUGACUGAUGUCGACUCUGUUCU